rnacentral:rRNA from 1 species
UCCGUAGGUGAACCUGCGGAAGGAUCAUUCAUAAUAAGUGUUCUACUGCACUUUUUAAACAAGUACUCACCUUGUGUGCAAUGUUUGCUGUCGAGUCGUUUAUUCGUCUCGACAGCACAAUACCAACCUUUUAUUGUAAAUUUUUUGUCUGAAGCUAUUUCGAAUAUAUAAUUCUAAAUACAACUUUCAACAACGGAUCUCUUGGCUCUCGCAUCGAUGAAGAACGCAGCGAAAUGCGAUACGUAAUGUGAAUUGCAGAAUUCAGUGAAUCAUCGAAUCUUUGAACGCACAUUGCACUCUCUGGUAUUCCGGAGAGUAUGCUUGUUUGAGUAUCUGUAAACAUCUCAAAUCUCUCUUCGCUUGCGUCGAGAGAAUUGGAUUUGAGCGAUCCCGACUCCUUCGUCAGAAAGAGGAGGGUCGCUUGAAAUGCAGGUACCAGCCGGACAUUCUUCUGAGCUAAAAGCAUAUCUAUUUAGUCCCGUCAAACGGAUUAUUACUUUUGCUUCAGCUAAUAUAAAGGUCGAAUGAACUACCAACGCUGAUUGCAGGAAAACUUGUUCGUUUAUUCGGACUUGUAAACUCGAUCUCAAAUCAAGUAAGACUACCCGCUGAACUUAAGCAUAUCAAUAAGCGGAGGA